CAGCUUUUGUUUUACCUAAGCCAGGGACUAGUUCAGCUGAACCUUCCCCACACCUGUUUCCAAGGUCUUUCUUCUGCAGCCAGUCCUGCUGUUCUUGGGACACUUUCUGGAAAAGACCCGAUAGCACUUCCCCUGCUCAGUCAUGCUCCUGCUGCUCAUCCCAGUCCUGGGGAUACAUUUUGCCUCGAGGGAUACCAGAGCCCAGUCUGUGACCCAGCUUGAUCCCUACAUCUCUGUUUCUGAAGGAGAAUCGUUGGAAUUGAGAUGCAACUAUUCCUAUGGUGGACCUCUUUAUCUCUUCUGGUAUGUCCAGUACCCUGGACAAGGCCUCCAGUUGCUCGUCUGGUACUAUUCUGGGGACACUGUGGUUCAAGGCAUUAAAGGCUUUGAGGCUGAAGUCAAGAAGAGUGAAUCUUCCUUCAACCUGCGGAAACAGUCUGUGCACUGGACUGACAUGGCUAAGUACUUCUGUGCUGUGAUGUGACAACUGAUGGCUGGGGGAAAUUGAAUUUUGGAGCAGGGACCCGGGUUGUGGUCACCCCA